AUUGAACGCUAGCGGCAGGCUUAACACAUGCAAGUCGAGCGAGCGGCGGACGGGUGAGUAAUGUAUGGGGAUCUGCCCGAUCGAGGGGGAUAACUACUGGAAACGGUAGCUAAUACCGCAUACUAUCGGAGGAACCCAUAUGGGAUUAGCUAGUAGGUGAGGUAAUGGCUCACGUAGGCGACGGUCCCUAGCGGGUCUGAGAGGAGGAUCAGCCACACGGGGACGGAGACACGGCCCAGACUCCUACGGGAGGCAGCAGUGGGGAAUAUUGCACAAUGGGGGCAAGCCUGAUGCAGCCAGGCCGCGUGUAUGAAGAAGGCCGUCGGGUUGUAAAGUACUUUCAGCGGGGAGGCGUUACCCGCAGAAGAAGCACCGGCUAACUCCGUGCCAGCAGCCGCGGUAAUAC
rnacentral:rRNA from 1 species